rnacentral:rRNA from 1 species
UGGGGAAUAUUGCACAAUGGGCGCAAGCCUGAUGCAGCCAUGCCGCGUGUGUGAAGAAGGCCUUCGGGUUGUAAAGCACUUUCAGCGGGGAGGAAGGCGGUGAGGUUAAUAACCUCAUCGAUUGACGUUACCCGCAGAAGAAGCACCGGCUAACUCCGUGCCAGCAGCCGCGGUAAUACGGAGGGUGCAAGCGUUAAUCGGAAUUACUGGGCGUAAAGCGCACGCAGGCGGUCUGUCAAGUCGGAUGUGAAAUCCCCGGGCUCAACCUGGGAACUGCAUUCGAAACUGGCAGGCUAGAGUCUUGUAGAGGGGGGUAGAAUUCCAGGUGUAGCGGUGAAAUGCGUAGAGAUCUGGAGGAAUACCGGUGGCGAAGGCGGCCCCUUGGACAAAGACUGACGCUCAGGUGCGAAAGCGUGGGGAGCAAACAGG